UACAGAGGGUGCGAGCGUUAAUCGGAAUUACUGGGCGUAAAGCGCACGUAGGCGGCUUGGUAUGUCGGGUGUGAAAUCCCCGGGCUCAACCUGGGAAUUGCAUUCGAGACUGCAUUGCUGGAGUACGGAAGAGGAAGGCGGAAUUCCCGGUGUAGCGGUGAAAUGCGUAGAUAUCGGGAGGAACAUCAGUGGCGAAGGCGGCCUUCUGGUCCAGUACUGACACUCAAGUGCGAAAGCGUGGGGAGCAAACAGG
rnacentral:rRNA from 1 species